AACAUACACACCAGGAUGCCUACCAUGCUCUAAGGUAAAGAGCCCAGACUUUGGUCUGAACUGAACCUCCAUGGUGAACAAGCACCGAGUCCUUUACCCAUAUAAUGGUAAACACUCCUAUCCUGUGAAUCCAAAGGAUCUGGCCCCAAACCUUCACCCUGAAUAAUUCAUGAGGACAGAAGUGACUGGAAAACCAGGCUCCAACCAAUUUGAUGGAGGAGGAAUACCAAAAGGUGCAAAAGGGUACACAAGAUGU